GCGCAGGCGGAUUAGAAAGUCUGGUGUUAAAAGCAAUUGCUUAACGAUUGUAUGCAUUGGAAACUUCUAGUCUAGAGUUUGGUAGAGAGUCCUGGAACUCCAUGUGGAGCGGUGAAAUGCGUAGAUAUAUGGAAGAACACCAGAGGCGAAGGCGAGGRCUUGGGCCAAUACUGACGCUUAGGCUUGAAAGUGUGGGGAGCAAAUAGGAUUAGAUACCCUAGUAGUCCACACUGUAAACGAUGGAUGUUAAGUGUCGGAGCGAAUACUUCGGUGCUGCAGUUAACACAUUAAACAUCCUGCCUGAGUAGUACAUUCGCAAGAAUGAAACUCAAACGGAAUUGACGGGGACCCGCACAAGUGGUGGAGCAUGUUGCUUAAUUCGACGGUACACGAAAAACCUUACCUAGACUUGACAUCUUGGGCGAAGCUAUAGAAAUAUAGUGGAGGUCAACCCAAUGACAGGUGGUGCAUGGUUGUCGUCAGCUCGUGUCGUGAGAUGUUGGGUUAAGUCCCGCAACGAGCGCAACCCUUAUCGUUAGUUACUUUGUCUAACGAGACUGCCAACGUAAGUUGGAGGAAGGUGGGGAUGACGUCAAAUCAUCAUGCCCCUUAUGUCUAGGGCUGCAAACGUGCUACAAUGGCCAAUACAAWCAGUUGCAAAUCCGUAAGGUGGAGCUAAUCUGUAAAGUUGGUCUCAGUUCGGAUUGAGGGCUGCAAUUCGCCCUCAUGAAGUCGGAAUCACUAGUAAUCGCGAAUCAGCCAUGUCGCGGUGAAUACGUUCUCGGGUCUUGUACACACCGCCCGUCAAACUAUGAGAGCUGGUAAUAUCUAAAACCGUGUUGCUAACCGCAAGGAAGCGCAUGUCUAGG
rnacentral:rRNA from 1 species